rnacentral:lncRNA from 1 species
CCUCUAUAGAUGGGCUUUAGUAAAGACUGUCCCAAAGAGCCCCUACUUCUCUAAUGCCCCCCCCCUUUUUUUUUUAGGAAAAGAACAUGCAGUUUUACUCAUCACUUCUUCAUGACACCAAAUCCAUUGCUAGGUUUAGCUCCUGGUCCCUUUUCAGCAAGAUUCAUGUUAUCCGUCUUACAACUUUGAUUUUGGAAAGUAUUAUGUCCUAAAAAUGCACUGCUUAACACAGUGGGGUUUUUUUCCCCCGAGGUGUCUUUAACUGGGGAAGUACCACAAACAUAGAGCAGAGACUUUAAUUUCUAUAUUCUACAAUAGACCAUCACCAAACAUCUUAUCAUGUUGUUGCUUUCUGAGUAAUAGGUGCUACGCAGGUAGGCGGGCUUUCUCUAGGACUAGGUGUACGUUUAUUUUGUAAUAACAGGGCUAUCUACAAGGCCUCUCAGCCUUACUCCUGGCUUCAUAGGACACAGGUAGCAUCCCUCUAGUCAUUGGCAAUGGCUCUUUCAGCUCGGAGGAAGCUUGGAGGAAACUCAGAUUACUUGGUAUCUUUUCCUGUUGCUGCAUUGCUUAGUGUUUCCUUGUUGCUGGGUCCUACUCUCUAGUAGAUACUAAACUGCUGUGAAGUACACCAUACACAUUUCACUAAGAUUCCAGAGCCACCUUGGUGACAUAACAGAAACAAAAUCAUGUUGGUUACAAAACAAAUUAAAUCUCUAUUGUUAACUUUUAAGCAUUUCACAAACAACAUUGUAAAUGUGCGAUGUUACGUUUUAAAUCAGACCACAGUGGUCCCCAAAUAUUAUGUACAUAUGGCAAUUUCAUAGGUAAUCGAACCUAUGCUCCAAUGUUAAAUUAUUUGUGUAUAUGUAAAAUACACAAGCUUUAAGCUAUGUGUGUAUGAAUAUGAAAGUUAAUGCAACCAUAUCAAUUGUAAAAAUGGAUUAUAAUUAUUUUUGAUGGUAUUAGGUUAUGUAGUUUCAAACUCUUUGCUGUAUUUUGUUUUGCACCUGCCAUUCAUUUGCUAAUUUUUGUGGCGUGGAGAUUCUUUUUUAUUAAUUUGAGCUCACAGCACAAGUGUAUCACUGUUUAAUGUUACCCAACAAGAGUUAGUGUUAAGUGAUGAUCAAGUUCCCAUUUCACCUGCUCUACUUUUGCUGCAUUAAUUAAUGACACCCGGAUGAGGAGACGUGCGCUAACUUCAUUGCUCAUCUGGGAUAGUGCAUGAGCCCAUUGAAUUAGAGCUGCUCCUACUAGAUAACUGAGCAGUACACAUAAGUGCAUGUUAUGAAACAUGAAUCACAUAGAGCAGUGGAGUUUUACCAAGUGGUGUGUGUGGUUUUUGUUUUUUACUAUGCAAAGAUGGGAAAUGCACAAACUUUUCAAAGACUAGUGUCUGAAGAACUUUACAAACAAUACUUGAACCCUUUCUUUAAAGUUAUCCCAUCAUGUUUUAUAGUCAUUGUUGCUUCCAUUGUUAGUUUCCAUUUUCAAGUGCUUUGUAAUUUUUUAAGUGCACUACCUGAAAUUUUGUUUGAAAUUAAUAAAUUCAUUCGUAUCUUGUUGGCUGCCUAUGAAUGGAGAUUCAGUAGUCAUUGUAUGCAUCUUUAAGUCAAAUGUGUAUUAAAACUUUCGUUAACGUAGAA